rnacentral:rRNA from 1 species
GCCCGUGGUGAUAACACGUUGAAGUCACCAGUUCUCAAUGGAUCACAGACGUUAAGCAACGUUCCUCGUGUUGGGUAUCUGGAUGGGUGACCAUCCGGGCGAUCGGGUGCUGCUGGCU